UACAGAGGGGGCAAGCGUUGUUCGGAAUUACUGGGCGUAAAGGGCGCGUAGGCGGCCUGUUAAGUCGAACGUGAAAUCCCCAGGCUCAACCCGGGAACUGCGUCCGAUACUGGUUGGCUUGAGUUUGGGAGAGGGAUGCGGAAUUCCAGGUGUAGCGGUGAAAUGCGUAGAUAUCUGGAGGAACACCGGUGGCGAAGGCGGCAUCCUGGACCAAUACUGACGCUGAGGAGCGAAAGCCAGGGGAGCAAACGGG
rnacentral:rRNA from 1 species